rnacentral:rRNA from 1 species
CGAUCAGUAGCCGACCUGAGAGGGUGAUCGGCCACAUUGGAACUGAGACACGGUCCAAACUCCUACGGGAGGCAGCAGUGGGGAAUAUUGCACAAUGGGCGAAAGCCUGAUGCAGCAACGCCGCGUGCGUGAUGAAGGCCUUCGGGUCGUAAAACUCUGUCCUCAAGGAAGAUAAUGACGGUACUUGAGGAGGAAGCCCCGGCUAACUACGUGCCAGCAGCCGCGGUAAGACGUAGGGGGCUAGCGUUAUCCGGAUUUACUGGGCGUAAAGGGUGCGUAGG